UACGGGGGGAGCAAGCGUUGUUCGGAUUUACUGGGCGUAAAGCGCGCGUAGGUGGUUUGUUAAGUUGGAUGUGAAAGCCCCGGGCUCAACCUGGGAGCUGCAUUCAAAACUGACAAGCUAGAGUAUGGUAGAGGGUGGUGGAAUUUCCGGUGUAGCGGUGAAAUGCGUAGAUAUCGGAAGGAACAUCAGUGGCGAAAGCGACUUCCUGGACCAAUACUGACGCUCAUGUGCGAAAGCGUGGGGAGCAAACAGG
rnacentral:rRNA from 1 species